rnacentral:rRNA from 1 species
GAUGAACGCUGGCGGCGUGCCUAAUACAUGCAAGUCGAGCGAACGGACGAGAAGCUUGCUUCUCUGAUGUUAGCGGCGGACGGGUGAGUAACACGUGGAUAACCUACCUAUAAGACUGGGAUAACUUCGGGAAACCGGAGCUAAUACCGGAUAAUAUUUUGAACCGCAUGGUUCAAAAGUGAAAGACGGUCUUGCUUUCACUUAUAGAUGGAUCCGCGCUGCAUUAGCUAGUUGGUAAGGUAACGGCUUACCAAGGCAACGAUGCAUAGCCGACCUGAGAGGGUGAAAGGCCACACUGGAACUGAGACACGGUCCAGACUCCUACGGGAGGCAGCAGUAGGGAAUCUUCCGCAAUGGGCGAAAGCCUGACGGAGCAACGCCGCGUGAGUGAUGAAGGUCUUCGGAUCGUAAAACUCUGUUAUUAGGGAAGAACAUAUGUGUAAGUAACUGUGCGCAUCUUGACGGUACCUAAUCAGAAAGCCACGGCUAACUACGUG